UACGUAGGGUCCGAGCGUUGUCCGGAAUUAUUGGGCGUAAAGAGCUCGUAGGCGGUUUGUCGCGUCUGCUGUGAAAUCCCGAGGCUCAACCUCGGGCCUGCAGUGGGUACGGGCAGACUGGAGUGCGGUAGGGGAGAAUGGAAUUCCUGGUGUAGCGGUGGAAUGCGCAGAUAUCAGGAGGAACACCAAUGGCGAAGGCAGCUCGCUGGGACGUUACUGACGCUGAGACGCGAAAGCGUGGGGAGCAAACAGG
rnacentral:rRNA from 1 species